rnacentral:rRNA from 1 species
UACGUAGGGUGCAAGCGUUAAUCGGAAUUACUGGGCGUAAAGCGUGCGCAGGCGGUAAUGUAAGACAGAUGUGAAAUCCCCCGGGCUCAACCUGGGACCUGCAUUUGUGACUGCAUUGCUGGAGUGCGGCAGAGGGGGAUGGAAUUCCGCGUGUAGCAGUGAAAUGCGUAGAUAUGCGGAGGAACACCGAUGGCGAAGGCAAUCCCCUGGGCCUGCACUGACGCUCAUGCACGAAAGCGUGGGGAGCAA